rnacentral:miRNA from 1 species
CCCCUCCGUCCGGCCCACAGCGAAGGUCACAAUCAACAUUCAUUGUUGUCGGUGGGUUGUGAGGACGGCAGACCCGCCGGGAGAUGAAUGUCACUGUGGCUGGGUCAGACGCGGC